CGGGGUAUAGCGCAGGCUGGUAGCGCGUCUGCAUGGGGUGCAGAAGGCCGCAGGUUCGAAUCCUGCUAUCCCGACCA
rnacentral:tRNA from 1 species